rnacentral:rRNA from 1 species
CCUACGGGGGGCAGCAGUGAGGAAUAUUGGUCAAUGGGCGCGAGCCUGAACCAGCCAAGUCGCGUGAGGGAAGACGGUCCUAUGGAUUGUAAACCUCUUUUGUCGGGGAGCAAAAGACGCCACGCGUGGCGUUCCGAGAGUACCCGAAGAAAAAGCAUCGGCUAACUCCGUGCCAGCAGCCGCGGUACUACGGAGGAUGCGAGCGUUAUCCGGAUUUAUUGGGUUUAAAGGGUGCGCAGGCGGAAGAUCAAGUCAGCGGUAAAAUUGAGAGGCUCAACCUCUUCGAGCCGUUGAAACUGGUGUUCUUGAGUGAGUGAGAAGUAUGCGGAAUGCGUGGUGUAGCGGUGAAAUGCAUAGAUAUCACGCAGAACUCCGAUUGCGAAGGCAGCAUACCGGCGCUCAACUGACGCUCAUGCACGAAAGUGUGGGUAUCGAACAGGAUUAGAUACCCUAGUAGUC